CUCUGUCGCCAUUGCAGGAGCUGCGAGGGUGCGCGAAUCCGAAUGGUGGCUGAUUGGUGAACCUAGAGCACCCUUUGCCCCAGCCAGAAAGAGGGGGAAAGCGACACCAAGAAUCCAUUCCAAACGAAAAACCAAGAGGAGACGCGGCAGCUCCUAGAUGUUGAUGUUUUGUUUUUUUGACAUAAAUCUUCGCACUCA
rnacentral:lncRNA from 1 species